CACGUAGGGCGCAAGCGUUGUCCGGAAUUAUUGGGCGUAAAGAGCUCGUAGGCGGUCUGUUGCGUCCGCUGUGAAAACUCGGGGCUUAACCCCGAGCCUGCAGUGGAUACGGGCAGACUAGAGGUAGGUAGGGGAGAAUGGAAUUCCCGGUGUAGCGGUGAAAUGCGCAGAUAUCGGGAGGAACACCGGUGGCGAAGGCGGUUCUCUGGGCCUUACCUGACGCUGAGGAGCGUAAGCGUGGGGAGCGAACAGG
rnacentral:rRNA from 1 species